rnacentral:rRNA from 1 species
CCUACGGGGGGCAGCAGUGGGGAAUCUUGCACAAUGGGGGAAACCCUGAUGCAGCGAUGCCGCGUGAGUGAAGAAGGCCUUUGGGUUGUAAAACUCUUUCGUCGGGGAAGAAAAUGACUGUACCCGAAUAAGAAGGUCCGGCUAACUUCGUGCCAGCAGCCGCGGUAAUACGAAGGGACCUAGCGUUGUCCGGAUUUAUUGGGCGUAAAGAGCUCGUAGGCGGUUCUGUAAGUCGGAUGUGAAAACUCAGGGCUCAACCCUGAGACGCCAUCUGAUACUGCAGUGACUAGAGUCCGGUAGAGGGAGGUAGAAUUCAUAGUGUAGCGGUGGAAUGCGUAGAUAUUAUGAAGAAUACCAGUGGCGAAGGCGGCGACCUGGUCCUUGACUGACACUGAGGAGCGAAAGCAUGGGUAGCGAAGAGGAUUAGAUACCCUUGUAGU